rnacentral:rRNA from 1 species
AAGGCUUUUCGGGUCGUAAAACUCUGUUGUUAGGGAAGAACAAGUGCUAGUUGAAUAAGCUGGCACCUUGACGGUACCUACCCAGAAAGCCACGGCUAACUACGUGCCAGCAGCCGCGGUAAUACGUAGGUGGCAAGCGUUAUCCGGAAUUAUUGGGCGUAAAGCGCGCGCAGGUGGUUUUCUUAAGUCUGAUGUGAAAGCCCACGGCUCAACCGUGGAGGGUCAUUGGAAACUGGGAGACUUGAGUGCAGAAGAGGAAAGUGGAAUUCCAUGUGUAGCGGUGAAAUGCGUAGAGAUAUGGAGGAACACCAGUGGCGAAGGCGACUUUCUGGUCUGUAACUGACACUGAGGCGCGAAAGCGUGGAGAGCAAACAGGAUUAGAUACCCUGGUAGUCCACGCCGUAAACGAUGAGUGCUAAGUGUUAGAGGGUUUCCGCCCUUUAGUGCUGAAGUUAACGCAUUAAGCACUCCGCCUGGGGAGUACGGCCGCAAGGCUGAAACUCAAAGGAAUUGACGGGGGCCCGCACAAGCGGUGGAGCAUGUGGUUUAAUUCGAAGCAACGCGAAGAACCUUACCAGGUCUUGACAUCCUCUGAAAACCCUAGAGAUAGGGCUUCUCCUUCGGGAGCAGAGUGACAGGUGGUGCAUGGUUGUCGUCAGCUCGUGUCGUGAGAUGUUGGGUUAAGUCCCGCAACGAGCGCAACCCUUGAUCUUAGUUGCCAUCAUUAAGUUGGGCACUCUAAGGUGACUGCCGGUGACAAACCGGAGGAAGGUGGGGAUGACGUCAAAUCAUCAUGCCCCUUAUGACCUGGGCUACACACGUGCUACAAUGGACGGUACAAAGAGCUGCAAGACCGCGAGGUGGAGCUAAUCUCAUAAAACCGUUCUCAGUUCGGAUUGUAGGCUGCAACUCGCCUACAUGAAGCUGGAAUCGCUAGUAAUCGCGGAUCAGCAUGCCGCGGUGAAUACGU